GGUGACAUAGCCAAAUGGUAAGGCAAAGGUCUGCAAAACCUUGAUCCCCGGUUCGAAUCCGGGUGUCACCU
rnacentral:tRNA from 1 species